rnacentral:rRNA from 1 species
GGGUGCGAUCAUACCAGCAUUAAUGCACCGUAUCCCAUCAGAACUCCAUAGUUAAGCGUGCUUGCGCUAGAGUAGUACUG